GACGAACGCUGGCGGCGUGCUUAACACAUGCAAGUCGAACGGAAAGGCCUCUUUCGGGGGGUACUCGAGUGGCGAACGGGUGAGUAACACGUGAGUAACCUGCCCUUGACUUUGGGAUAACUUCAGGAAACUGGGGCUAAUACCGGAUAGGAGCUCCUGCUGCAUGGUGGGGGUUGGAAAGUUUCGGCGGUUGGGGAUGGACUCGCGGCUUAUCAGCUUGUUGGUGGGGUAGUGGCUUACCAAGGCUUUGACGGGUAGCCGGCCUGAGAGGGUGACCGGCCACAUUGGGACUGAGAUACGGCCCAGACUCCUACGGGAGGCAGCAGUGGGGAAUAUUGCACAAUGGGCGGAAGCCUGAUGCAGCAACGCCGCGUGCGGGAUGACGGCCUUCGGGUUGUAAACCGCUUUCGCCUGUGACGAAGCGUAAGUGACGGUAAUGGGUAAAGAAGCACCGGCUAACUACGUG
rnacentral:rRNA from 1 species